GUCAGCAUGGCCGAGUGGUUAAGGCGGUAGAUUCGAAAUCUACUGGGCUUGUCCCGCGCAGGUUCAAAUCCUGCUGCUGACG
rnacentral:tRNA from 1 species